CCCGAAGCGACAAGGCGAGACCGACCGCUCCUGGCUCCCACUGCCUGUCCCCUGCACCUCCCUCUGCAAAGCCGGUAAAGCCGACGCCGCGCUAGCCUUCCCUCUGCCCCGCUGACACCGUGUCAUCCGCCGACCCCGUCUGUGCGCGCACGAGACGCCGAACGCGUCACGACAACCUCCGCGUCCGCCUCUCGCUCCUCCCUCGCCUAUAAAUCGAACCCUCGCGCCAGCUAACUCUCCACACCACUCUCAACCUCCACACCCAAAGCCGAAGACCAAAACCCUCUGAUUCGCCGGGAACGCCCGCGCCAUCGUCACGCCCCGCGUCGGCCGAACAGGGCGCGACCGCCAACCCGCACCCGUCAAGUCGCUGCCUCGGACCUCUUCGCCGGAGAUCUGCCGCCACCAUUGCCGUCGCCGACCGCCUAGGGAGCUCGUGGCCACGCCACCUCGGACCGCCUCCGCCCAAAUAGAGCACGGGAGGGCGAAUCGAUUGUUGCCGUUGGCGAAAGUGUGCAGGACCAAGAGUUAUUUGAGGAACCAACUAAGCAAGGCAAG